GAUGAACGCUAGCGGCAGGCCUAAUACAUGCAAGUCGAACGGUGUCUUCGGACAUAGUGGCGCACGGGUGCGUAACACGUAUGCAACCUACCUUACAUUGGGGGAUAGCCUUUCGAAAGGGGGAUUAACACCGCAUAAGACAGUAGCUGGGCAUCCAGCAGCUGUUAAAGAUUUAUCGAUGUAAGCUGGGCAUGCGUCCAAUUAGCUAGUUGGUGAGGUAACGGCUCACCAAGGCAAUGAUUGGUAGGGGAACUGAGAGGUCAAUCCCCCACACUGGCACUGAGAUACGGGCCAGACUCCUACGGGAGGCAGCAGUAGGGAAUAUUGGGCAAUGGACGCAAGUCUGACCCAGCCAUGCCGCGUGCAGGAUGAAGGCGUUAUGCGUUGUAAACUGCUUUUAUACAGGAAGAAACGACUCUUGCGAGAGGCAUUGACGGUACUGUAUGAAUAAGCACCGGCUAACUCUGUGCCAGCAGCCGCCGUAAAAC
rnacentral:rRNA from 1 species